CAGAGUGAGAGAGGAGGAGGAUGUUACAGUGAAAGAAGAGGAAGACACGUUCAGAGUGAGAGAGGAGGAGGAUGUUACAGUAAAAGAAGAGGUGGAGGAACAGGGGAAGAUAACUGUCACAUCGAAAGAGGAGGAGGAGGCGACUAGGGAUCUUAUUACCAACAGAGAGAGACCAAACUCUCCUUCUGACAGCAGGAACCAGCAGGAACCAGAACCUGAGACGUCCAAACCAGCAGGACGACAUCACUGCUCCCAGUGUGGAAAGUGUUUUACUCAGUUAGGGAGCCUGAAAACACACAAGAGAAUACAAACUGCUCCUCGUGCAGAAAGAGUUUUAGGUGGUUAGGGAACGUGGAAAGGCAUGAGAGGACACACACAGGAGAAAAGCCUUUCCAAUGUUCCCAUUGUGGAAAGAGUUGUACGUAGUUAGGGAGCCUGAAGGAGCAUGAGAGAAUACACACAGGAGAAAAGCCUUACCAAUGUUCCCAUUGUGGAAAGCAUUUUGCCCAGUUAGGAAACCUGAACCAGCAUGAGAGGACACACAGGAGAAAAGACGUACCACUGCUCCCACUGUGGAAAGAGAUUUCCCAGGUUAAGGUACCUGAAAAAGCAUGAAAGAAUACAAACAAAUACAAAGGAAGAGAAGACAUACUACUGCUCUCAUUGUGGAAAGACAUUUUCCCAGUCAGAGGACCUGAAAACACAUGAGAGAAUAGAGAGCCUGUGUUCUGACAAUUGUUUUUUUUGCGAUUAAUCUCAUUGUCUGAAAGGGUUAAAAACACACUGAAAACAUCCAAAAUACAUCCUGUAUAGCGCUAAAAUCUACAACGCCAUGUAAAAACAAGUUGACAUUGAGGUUAAAUAAAGUGUGCUUUAUCAAUGUAACAUA